GCCUUCGGGUGUAAUGGUCAGCACACUGAGCCGGUAUUUCAGAGGUCCGCGGUUCGAUUCCCGGCGAAGGCG
rnacentral:tRNA from 1 species